AAAAAAAAAAGGUUUUCAAACCAAAGAUCCACGAGAUGCUGGCUCAUCUUCCCCCCAAAUGUAGUUUCUUCGGCGUUUCGUGAAUAAGCAGAGACCAGAAAGAAAAAGAGAAGCACUAUCGUUGCCAUGCAGAAAUGAAGUCUUUGAAAUACAGAUAAAACAUGCAAGGCUUAAGAAGAUCAGAGAACUUUAGACUGAAACCAAGACGACUCUGAGCACCAUGACAAUCAGGCGGGAAAGGGAAAGAGGAGAGCAGAGGAAAGAGGAAGAAGAGAAAAAGAAAGUAGAGAAAGACAAAAGAAAAGCCUACCUGCUUUCAAGAUGGAUUUCAAUAAGAUAGUAUAAAACAUUGCACCUGCAAUGGCAGGGACUGCACCCAGUGACUGUUCCAUCCCGCAAAAUCCUUGCUUCCAAAAGCCGUUAGGUGAUGAGAUUUAUAUUCUCCAUUCGUCAUCCACGUACUGAGUGACACUGUUGUAUUAUUUUAGCUUGGUAUUUUCUGAUAAGGCACCCUUUAGAAACAUCUGGGCUUUAAAACAGAUUUCUUAUACUCACUUUAAUAGGACUUUUAACAGCGCAAUAGUCUUCUGUGUAAAAAAUACCUGUCGCUCCUUCUCAAAUACUUCCUCCUUCUCUGCACCUACCUGCUUACUGCUGCCCGAGUCACAGCAGCAGCUCCGCUGCUGUAGUUUUACUGGUAAAUCCCCUCCUCAAUAUCAUUGAUCUGAACCAGUCAGAAAUUCUAAUGGUCAAAAGUAGAGGAUUUUCAUUAGGGUUAGGAGUUUUUUCUA